CAGUCGCCGCGGUAAUACAGAGGGUGCGAGCGUUAAUCGGAUUUACUGGGCGUAAAGCGUGCGUAGGCGGCUUUUUAAGUCGGAUGUGAAAUCCCUGGGCUUAACUUAGGAAUUGCAUUCGAUACUGGGAAGCUAGAGUAUGGGAGAGGAUGGUAGAAUUCCAGGUGUAGCGGUGAAAUGCGUAGAGAUCUGGAGGAAUACCGAUGGCGAAGGCAGCCAUCUGGCCUAAUACUGACGCUGAGGUACGAAAGCAUGGGGAGCAAACAGGAUUAGAUACCCGCGUAGUCCCUGUCUCUUAUAU
rnacentral:rRNA from 1 species